UACGGGGGGGGCAAGCGUUGUUCGGAAUUAUUGGGCGUAAAGGGCUCGUAGGCGGUUUGUCGCGUCGGGAGUGAAAACACGGGGCUUAACCCCGUGCCUGCUUCCGAUACGGGCAGACUAGAGGUAUGCAGGGGAGAACGGAAUUCCUGGUGUAGCGGUGAAAUGCGCAGAUAUCGGGAGGAACACCAGUGGCGAAGGCGGUUCUCUGGGCAUUACCUGACGCUGAGGAGCGAAAGUGUGGGGAGCGAACAGG
rnacentral:rRNA from 1 species